CCCUUGGAACUGCAGCGUAGUAAGUUAUCUUUCGCUAGCGGACAUGGAGGGACUGUCUGGCCGGUAAAACCCCCAACCCCAAUGGUUGACCUCGGAUCAGGUAGGGAUACCCGCUGAACUUAAGCAUAUCAAUAAGCGGAGGAAAAGAAACCAACAGGGAUUGCCUCAGUAACUGCGAGUGAAGCGGCAAGAGCUCAAAUUUGAAAUCUGACGCCCUUGGCGCCCGAGUUGUAAUUUGGAGGGAUAACUUCGGGACCGGCGCCAUCCUAAGUUCUUUGGAACAGGACAUCACAGAGGGUGAGAAUCCCGUGUCUGGAUGGCUGCCCGGUCCCAUGUGAAGUGUCUCCGACGAGUCGAGUUGUUUGGGAAUGCAGCUCAAAAUGGGUGGUAAAUUUCAUCCAAAGCUAAAUAUUGGCGAGAGACCGAUAGCGAACAAGUAGAGUGAUCGAAAGAUGAAAAGCACUUUGAAAAGAGAGUUAAAAAAGUACGUGAAAUUGUUGAAAGGGAAGCGCAUGCGACCAGACUCGAUCUUUGGUGAUCAUCCGGGGUUCUCUCCGGUGCACUUGCCUUUGGUCGGGCCAGCAUCGGUUCCGGCGGCGGGACAAAAGCGGAGGGAAUGUGGCUCCCUUUGGGGAGUGUUAUAGCCCACCGCACAAUGCCGCCGGCCGGGACCGAGGACCGCGCUUCGGCUAGGAUGCUGGCGUAAUGGUCUUAUGUGACC
rnacentral:rRNA from 1 species